rnacentral:rRNA from 1 species
UACGGAGGGUGCAAGCGUUAAUCGGAAUUACUGGGCGUAAAGCGCACGCAGGCGGUUGGUUAAGUCAGAUGUGAAAUCCCCGGGCUCAACCCGGGAACUGCAUUUGAAACUGGCCAGCUUGAGUCUCGUAGAGGGAGGUAGAAUUCCAGGUGUAGCGGUGAAAUGCGUAGAGAUCUGGAGGAAUACCGGUGGCGAAGGCGGCCUCCUGGACGAAGACUGACGCUCAGGUGCGAAAGCGUGGGGAGCAAACAGG